rfam:Gorilla gorilla gorilla genomic chromosome, chr6, whole genome shotgun sequence
UAUUAGGUUGGUGCAGAAGUAAUUGUGGUUUUUGCCUUAAUUUUAUGGCAAAAACCACAAUUACUUUUGCACCAACCUAAUA